rnacentral:rRNA from 1 species
UACGUAGGGUGCAAGCGUUAAUCGGAAUUACUGGGCGUAAAGCGUGCGCAGGCGGUUGUGCAAGACAGGGGUGAAAUCCCCCGAGCUUAACUUGGGAACUGCCUUUGUGACUGCACGGCUAGAGUGUGUCAGAGGGGGGUAGAAUUCCACGUGUAGCAGUGAAAUGCGUAGAGAUGUGGAGGAAUACCGAUGGCGAAGGCAGCCCCCUGGGAUAACACUGACGCUCAUGCACGAAAGCGUGGGGAGCAAACAGG